AUUAAACACUAUCUUUAUUUGAAUUUUCGCGAUGGCUGUCGGUGAUCUUAAGACAGAUAAGGGUGUCAAGGAUUUAAAUUCUUAUUUAGCAGAUCGUAGUUAUAUCGAAGGGUGGCAACCUACUCAGGCAGACGUAGCAGUGCUAGAAGCUUUGGGAAAAACUCCAACAUCUUCGAAUCCUCAUGUUUUACGAUGGUACAACCAUAUCAAAUCGUAUGAUUUAGAGUCACUUCCUGGAGAGAAAAAAGCACCCACACUCUUAAGUAACGAUAAUGUUAAUCCACCAACAGUAGCAAAGAACGAAGACGAUGAUGACAUAGAUCUGUUUGGUUCUGAUGAAGAAGAAGAUGUAGAAGCUGUUAGAGUGAGAGAAGAAAGAUUAAAAGCAUACGCAGAAAAGAAAUCUAAAAAGCCAACUUUGAUUGCUAAAUCUAGUCUUGUAUUGGAUGUAAAACCAUGGGGGGAUGAGACAGACAUGAAAGCAAUGGAGAAAGCAGUUAGAUCUAUAGAAAUAGAUGGAUUAGUUUGGGGUGCAUCCAAACUAGUUGCUGUGGGCUAUGGUAUAUCUAAGUUCAGAAUAAUGUGUGUCAUAGAAGAUGACAAAGUAUCUGUGGACUUAUUGGUAGAACAAAUAGAAAGUUUUGAGGAUCUAGUUCAAUCUGUCGACAUUGAGUCAUUCAACAAAAUAUAAAUGACUGUUUGUGUCCGUUACUUUUAAUAUAAACUUAAUAAAUAAUAACCAUUGUUUCUAUAUAUAAUUUGUUAUUGGAUGAUCCUGAAGAAUUACUAAUGCAACUUCAAUGGAACAGACAUACAGCAAACACAAGGCAACUAGUUGCAUACGUGGAUCUGGGGCUACUCAACGAGGGAAAAAUUUAAAGUCCGCACAAGAUGCGAAAUCGAUCGCCAAGAGUUUAAUACUAUAAUAGAAUGAAUACGUCUGAGCUUAAAUCUAUCAUUGCGUUACUCAGUAACUUAUUACAUGUAUAUACGUUUGUUAUUUAAUAAUCAACAAUGAUCCCAUAAUGGAAAUGCAAUUUUUUAAAUAAAUGUCCAAAUGAAAUACUUUCAUUUUGACCACAAAGUA